UCCUACGGGAGGCAGCAGUGAGGAAUAUUGGUCAAUGGGCGGGAGCCUGAACCAGCCAAGCCGCGUGAGGGAAGAAGGUACAGCGUAUCGUAAACCUCUUUUGUCAGGGAACAAAGGCGGGGACUAGUCCCCGGAUGAGGGUACCUGAAGAAAAAGCAUCGGCUAACUCCGUGCCAGCAGCCGCGGUAAUACGGAGGAUGCGAGCGUUAUCCGGAUUUAUUGGGUUUAAAGGGUGCGCAGGCGGCCUGUUAAGUCAGCGGUAAAAGCCCGGGGCUCAACCCCGGCGGGCCGUUGAA
rnacentral:rRNA from 1 species